rnacentral:rRNA from 1 species
GAUGAACGCUGGCGGCGUGCCUAAUACAUGCAAGUCGAGCGGUAAGGCUUUCACAGAUUAUUUAACCAGAUAAGUUCUUCGGAAAACUGUUUGCAGCGAUGAUUCCCCGGCUAGGGAAUCAGAGUUGAAUAAUGCGUGAAAGUACACGAGCAGCGGACGGCUGAGUAACACGUAGGAACGUACCCCAAAGUGAGGGAUAAGCACCGGAAACGGUGUCUAAUACCGCAUGUGAUCUUCGGAUUAAAGCUUCGGCGCUUUGGGAACGGCCUGCGCAUGAUUAGCUGUGGUGAGGUAAAAGCUCACCCAAGGCGACAAUCAUUAGCUGGUCUGUAGAGGGUGAUCAGCCAGACUGGACUGAGAACGGCCCAGACUCCUACGGGA